rnacentral:rRNA from 1 species
GAUGAACGCUGGCGGCGUGCCUAAUACAUGCAAGUCGAGCGAACAGACGAGGAGCUUGCUCCUCUGACGUUAGCGGCGGACGAGUGAGUAACCCGUGGAUAACCUACCUAUAAGACUGGGAUAACUUCGGGAAACCGGAGCUAAUACCGGAUAAUAUAUUGAACCGCAUGGUUCAAUAGUGAAAGACGGUUUUGCUGUCACUUAUAGAUGGAUCCGCGCCGCAUUAGCUAGUUGGUAAGGUAACGGCUUACCAAGGCAACGAUGCGUAGCCGACCUGAGAGGAUGAUCGGCCACACUGGAACUGAGACACGGUCCAGACUCCUACGGGAGGCAGCAGUAGGGAAUCUUCCGCAAUGGGCGAAAGCCUGACGGAGCAACGCCGCGUGAGUGAUGAAGGUCUUCGGAUCGUAAAGCUCUGUUAUUAGGGAAGAACAGAUGUGUAAGUAACUAUGCACGUCUUGACGGUACCUAAUCAGAAAGCCACGGCUAACUACGUG